UACGUAGGGUGCGAGCGUUAAUCGGAAUUACUGGGCGUAAAGCGUGCGCAGGCGGUUUUGUAAGGCAGAUGUGAAAUCCCCGGGCUUAACCUGGGAAUGGCAUUUGGGACUGCAAGGCUUGAGUGCGGCAGAGGAGACUGGAAUUCCUGGUGUAGCAGUGAAAUGCGUAGAGAUCGGGAGGAACACCAGUGGCGAAGGCGGCCUUCUGGACCAAUACUGACGCUCAUGCACGAAAGCGUGGGGAGCAAACAGG
rnacentral:rRNA from 1 species